AAAAGGUGCAAAGAAUCUUUAUUUUUUCCAAACAUAGUUCAUCCUAGGUCUGGAGUUGCUUCUUCAUUUUGUAUAUUGCAGCUCUACCUCAUCUCAAUUUUCGUCUCCCUCAAACAUGAAUUUCAGGUUACAAGGAUAUGGGAAAUGUUAUCAAUUUUGAUACUUCAGAUGACAAGAACAAGAAAUAUGUUGUAAAAAAGGCUAAAAGAUAGAGAACCAACUUAUACAGUAGGUCAAGGACGUGGCAGUGACUUGUGGACAGGAGAUUGUACUGUUAGUAAAACUUUAUGUAGUCUCAAGCAUACUGAAACAGAGGUAAACUUGCAUUUUUUUAAAGACACUAUUUUAUCCUGGAUCAAAAGUAGUUUUUCUUCAUCUUUUAAUAUUGUUCCCCACUUGUAGUUAAAAAAACUAUAUUAUUCAUAUUUUAUGGUUUCUUUAUAACCAGAAAGGUGUAUCCAUUACCCUACUAGAAGUUAUGGGGAAAAAGGCGAUGUUCAAGUUAAUAGCAAGGUCUACCCGAAGAAUUCUACUGUCCCUCUCAAAGGAGGUGAUGAGGUUAUUUUUGGCUCAUCUGGUCAACAUAAUUAUGUAUCCUUAAUUUACAUUGUUUGGGAGUUCAUAUACAUGUAAGAAUAUGAAUGCAUUUUGUAUGUUAGAACUGAAAUUACCAGCAUUUCCUUGACUUGUGCUUUAGAUAAUUGAUAAUAACUUAUCUGCUCUGAGUUUGAUUCAUCCUAUUAGCGUAGUGAAAGCUCAUAGUAGAUCAAUCAAGGGACUGCAUCUUGAGGUAAGGUCUAGGGAUCCCUCCACUGUAGGAGUUGCAUCGACCCUGGCAUUUUUGUCAAAUCUUUAGAAAGACUUGUCCCUUCUUUCACCAUUAUAUCAAAAUGGUAAGGAUGUAAAACAAGGUUCAAAGGUGCUAACACUACCCCCUGUCAGUGGAGUGAGAGAAAAAUAUUUAGAUACUGAUAUGAAGGAUGCUUCUGAUUAUAAUGAUGUACCUGGUGCUUUGAUGGAUGAGAAGAAUGAUGUGAUAUCUCCUGAUGUUGAAAAUGGUAACUUGAGUCUUGAUAAUAUUGCACUAGAUUCAGUUGAUGCAGAGAUAGAAAAGGUGCGACCUAUCCUUCGAAUGCUUGCUAGAUCUUCUGUGUCUGCGUUUGAUUUGAGUGGUAGCAUUUCCAAAAUUUUCGAGGAGCAAAGAAAUUUCCGAGAACUACUUAAGGAUUUUGAUCCUCCAGUUUUGGCAUUAACUAGGCACCAAACAUCUAAAAAUGCCUUAGAUCAAGGAGUAAUUGAUUUCAAUACUAUUGAGGUUUCAUUUGACAAUUUUCCAUAUUAUUUAUGGUAAAUAUUGGUCUCUCUCUCUUUCCCUCUCUCUAAUUUUCUUGUUGAUAUUGCUUUCAUUGCUUUAUUCAUUACUUCUCGCUGCAACAUUAAGUUUGUUCAAGUUAAAAUUGGUAAUCGUGUAUUUCUGGAACUUGUUUCAUUGAUUUCUGUCCUUACUAUUUUUUUCUAUGAUAGUGAAAACACAAAGAAUAUCCUAAUUUCUUCCACUUAUAUACACUUGAAGUGUAAUAAGUUUGCAAAAUAUACAUCAGAUCUCCCCACAGUAUGCCCUAGAAUUUUGCUAUUAGGUCCAGCAGGUAGUUACUGCCCAUAGAAAUCACUUAAUCUAGUUUUGUUGAGUUUAAUCAACCCUAAAAAACACAUUUUGACUUGCUAAAAAUCACAUUCUGAUCACAGGCUUAGAAAUUUAUCAG